CUGGGAAAGCAGUCCAUGGAGGAGAGGAUUCUUGGGGAGAUAUCACACAUCAUUGCACCCUUGGAGAAAAGCAUUGAGAGGAGAUGAUGGAUCUUUUUCAGAGGCCCAACUCAUCUUUUACCUCCUGAACUUUCACUUUGCUGGAACAGACACCACCUCCAAGACACUGCUCACUGCAUUCCUCUACCUCAUGACCCAUCCAGAGAUUCAGGGGCACUAUGAUCAUUCCAAACCUCACCUCUGUACUGUCUGAGAAGGGUCAGUUGAAGUUCCCCCAUGAGUUCAACCCCUUAAACUUCCUGAACGAGCAGUGAGUGUUUGAGAAGCCUGAAGCUUUCAUGCCGUUCUCUGCAGGUGAGGGAUAGAACAACACAAGGUGCAUCACUGACGUUGUUGACA
rnacentral:lncRNA from 1 species